GACGAACGCUGGCGGCGUGCCUAAUACAUGCAAGUAGAACGCAGGUGCGAACGGGUGAGUAACGUGUAGGUAACUGCCUCAUAGGGGGGGAUAACUAUUGGAAACGAUAGCUAAUACCGCAAACAGUGAGAUGGACCUGAGUUGUAUUAGCUAGUUGGGGGGGUAAAGGCUCACCAAGGGGACGAUACAUAGCCGACCUGAGAGGGUGAUCGGCCCCACUGGGACUUGGGAACGGCCCAGACUCCUACGGGAGGCAGCAGUAGGGAAUCUUCGGCAAUGGGCGGAAGUCUGACCGAGCAACGCCGCGUGAGUUAAAGAGGGUUUCGGAUCGUAAAGCUCUGUUGUUAGAGAAGCGGUACCUAACCAGAAAGGGACGGCUAACUACGUGCCAGCAGCCGCGGUAAUAC
rnacentral:rRNA from 1 species